rnacentral:rRNA from 1 species
GGCGACGGCGUUCUCGCCGGAUGUAGGAACCGACCCGGGGACCGCCGGGGCAACCCGGCGCCCCCGAGACGGGGCGAACCACGGUGAAAAUGACGGAUCGUCGGCCCCGCGCCGGCGACUCGCCGAAUGAGUUUCUGACCUAUCAACUCGAGACGGCGGGGUAGAGGCCCGCCGCGGUAACGACGGGUAACGGGGAAUCAGGGUUCGAUUCCGGAGAGGGAGCCCGAGAAACGGCUACCACUUCCAAGGAAGGCAGCAGGCGCGCAACUUACCCUAAUCUCGAUUCGAGGAGGUAGUGACAAGAAAUACCGAUGCGGGACCCUACGGGUGCCGCGUUCGGAAUGAGUACGAUUCGAACCACCUAACGAGGAACGAUCGGAGGGCAAGUCUGGUGCCAGCAGCC